rnacentral:lncRNA from 1 species
GGUGGCUGAUAAUCGAUUGGCUCGGGUAUUUAGAGUGGGUUUCGGUUUGGGAGCUUGAUUGUGGUGUUAAUGGUGGUUAGUCCUUGGUUGCUUGGUUGCUUGCCGGAUAUUGGAGUUUUUUCUUGCUUAGAUUGUUGAAUGCUCCUUUUUUGUUGUUUUUUUUUGCUGGAAAAUUUUUUUGCUGAAUAAUUUUUUUUUUGCUCUUUUUUCUCAAAUGGGGAAUCCUCCUCUUUUUUGUGUUGUUUUUUUUUAUUUCUCCCAUUUUGCUUGUUUUUAUGCUAUUUGCAGGUAGUGGGUGAAGAAGGAGCAGCCACCCAUGUUUGUGGCCUGAAAAUUGGGAAGUGGGUACCCUAAAUCACGUAAUCUGUCUGAAGGAUCAAAUCACAAAUGUAGCAAAAAUUUUGGGGCUAAAUGUAAUUUUUAGAAAAUUUAAGGUUAAAAUGCAAUUUAAGGAAAGUUUAGGAGUCUAAGUGAAAUUUAAAGAAAGUUUAAGGGUCAAAAUGAAAUUUAGGAAAAAUUUAGGGGUCAAAAUGUAAUUUUUAUUUUUUGAAUUUUUUUAUUUUUAUUUUUAUUUUUUAAAAAUUUUGAAAAUUAAACAACAAACUCUAGUCAGACAAAAAUUUAGUGUUUACACCUCAAACCAAAUAAUAAAAACCCAAUAAUUAAUUAAAUGUUCAAAGUCCAGAUUACAUGACCCAAGAUCCAUUUACAAAUUAAAGCCCAACUACCCUGGCCCAAGAACAAAAAAUUAGUAUAGAAACCCUAGCGCCGCAACCAAGCCGCUCAGUGCCGUACGCUCCGUACCACCCCUGCACGCCUCUGUGCGCCACCCUCAUGCCUCCAUGUCACCCCGUACCUGCAAACAAAAACAAGCAAACGACAGCAGGACAACAACAAAUAGGAAAAAUGAAGAAAAAUUGUAUUUUGAUUUAUUCUUUUUCAGUUUCGGCUACAAAAGCAAGAACAGAGCGAUUGUAAGGGGCUCUCUUUCUCUUUUUUUUUUACACAUAUAUGCAUAUUGAAUAGAAGAGCAAUAAAAAAAUUGAAAGGUGAUUUUAAGCACCUUAUAUUUCUGUGUUUCGAAUCUAUUUCAUUUUUUUCUUUUCGUUUUGUUUUUUAGUAUAACGAAAUAAAAUAGUAAUCUCACCUUGCGAAUAAGCCACUGGUUCUCAAUUGCUUCGUUCAAAUCGAAGUCAAGAAAGGAUUUUCAGGCUGAAAAUAGAUUCGCCGGAGCCCUCAAAACCACCGGUCACCGUUCUUGGUGGUGGAUCAGUGAUGGGGUUAAAAAAAUGGGGCUAGGGUCUGCUGGUAAAGAUGAAAGGAGGCUAGGGUUCGGUAGAAUGGGCUAAAUUGGAGCUUUUAUAAGCAACAUAGAACGGCGCCGUAUAGGGAGUAAGGGGCGCCGUAUAGGGAGUAAGGGAACCCGCGCGUCGACCCGACCCGUAGUAGGAUCCGCGCCCUUUUGCUCAAAAGGGAAAUUUGCGCGAUCAACCCUUCCCUUUUGUGCCACGUCUCAUUGGACUCCAAUUGGCCUCCUAUCCUUUUUUAAUUUUUUCCAAAAGCUUAUGCGCUAUUGCAUUUUAGUCCUUGUUUGUGCACUGCGUUUUGAGGGUCUGGUAUAUUUCCAAUUUAAGUCCCUCUGCGUUCGCGCGCACUGCACUUCGGUCCCUAUUUCGUUUUCAAUUACUUGUUUUAUUUAUUAAUUAAUCCUUUCAGUUUGUAUUUAGCUCACUUGAGUUUGUUUAUUUUAGUUAUGUAAUUUUUCGUUUUUUUUAUUCUUAUUUUUCAUUUCAAUUUUUUUAACCUUUCUAACAUAUGGUUUUAAAUUGUGUUAUCAAAUUUACUUUAUGUUCGUAUGUUAUUUUUAUACUUACGUUUGGAUAUAUGCUUUAUUUGUUUUACUAUAUGCCUAUUUAUUCUAAAGUUCUCUUCCAUCCUCCGUUGUUAAAUUUUUUUAUGUUAUUCAUCUAAAUACUCUUAUACAUUAGUAUUCUUAUAUAUAUUAUUUACGUUAAACUAUUUUUUUAAAUCUAUGUGUAUUAUUUAUUUAAACUAAUGUAUAGUAUUUCGUAUAUGCUUACUCUAAUCUUCUUCUUUUGAUAUUUAUUUUAAAAAUCCAUUUUUACAUUACUAAUUUGUAUACUGUUUAUUUUAGCUAUUUCAUCUUUUUGGUUUAUCUCAAACUUUCAUGCAUAUUACUUAUUUUAAAAUUAUAUAAAUUAAUCUUAAAUUAUUUUAUUUUAUUUUUUUUAUGUGUAUAUUGUUUCAUUAUAUAUUGAUUUGUUAUUCUGUCAUGUAUAUCGUUUAUUCUUUAUUUUUAUCAUAUCUUCAUUAUAUAUUGUUUUCAUGAUUUUUAUUAUUGUAUGCAUAUCAUCACCUUUAAGUAAAUAUAUUUUGUUUUUAAAAAAUAUUGUUGUAUGUUAUUUGCUCCAAAUCUCUUCUUUCACAAUGUUUAUUUCAAUAUUAUUUAUUAGUGUUAUUUUUAUAUAUAUGCAAAUCAUUUCAAACCCUUUUAUAUGUUGCUCAUUUGUAAUUUUUCAUAUUAAAUAGUUUUCAAAUUGUUUCCAUAUUGUUUUGUAUAUUAUUUAUAUUAUUUUGUUAUAAAUUUGUUUUCAUACUUAUAUAUACGUAAAUGUUUCCUAUAUUAUCAGCUUUGAAUGGUUGAACAUUAUGUUUUUACAUGCAUUGUUGAUCUUCUAUUGUUUUAUAUAUUUUCCUUUAAAUCUAUUUCAUUGUAUAUUUCCUUUUAAAUCAAUUUUUCAUAUAUAUAUAUAUGUACAUAUAUAUAUUUAAAAAAAAAUCUAUUAUGUAUAUAGUUCACUACAUAAGAACAUAUUUUAUUAUAUAUUCUUUUGUUAUUCAAGAACCUUUCAUGUUUUGUAUAUUAUUUAAGUUUUCUUUCAUUUUGUAUGUAUAUUAUCGAUUUAAAAUAGAUGUAUUAUUUUGCAUGCUAUUCGAUUCAAAAUCAUUUUUUAAUAAUUAUUUAUACAGUAUUCUUAUCCAUGUAAAUUAUUUCAAAUUCGAGCAUGUAGUAUUCGUUCAUCGAUUCAUCAUCUUUUUAAUUGUUUUGUAUCAUAUUGGUUUUAUUUUGUUUGGUACAUUAUGUGGUAAUUGUUUCAUAUUAUUUCAUGUAUAUUGGUUGCACAUCAUUAAUUCGCCUUCUUAUGUAUUAGUAUAUCAAUCGCUGUUUACCCAUGCUUGUAAAUUUUGUUGUUUUAAAUUAGUUGUUUAUUUGAUUUGAUUGGUUAAAUAAGAUUAUGUUGUCUUCAUUUACCAAGUGUCAUAACUUAUGUGUAUAUUAUCCCAUAUCAUUGUUUUCCACUUGGUUUGCGAAAUGUGGUUUUAUAAGGUCCAAAUCUUUAAGAUCAAUUUCGUUUUAUUUUAAGUCGCAUUAACUCGUUUUAAGCUACUUUUACAAUUAUUCAUUUAAAAAUUCUUUAAAACGAAGGCAAUACUCGAUGUUUGGCAAUUCGAGAAUCGUGCCUUAUCGUGUUGGGUUGCGAUUUUCCAUUUGUUCAAAACAAUCGAAUACUCCUUUGGAAUUUCGCUUAUGUCUUUAAAAAUUCUUCAAAACGAAGGUAAUGUUCGAUGUUUGGCAAUUCGGGGAAUCGUGCCCUAUCGUGCUGGGUUGCGAUUUCCUGUUUGUUCAAAACAAUCGAAUAUUCCUUUAGAAUUCCACUCAUGCUCUCUAAAUUCUAAAACAAGACAAUGUCCGAUGUUUGGAAAUUCAAGGAAUCGUGCCUACUGUACUGGGUUUUGGUUUUUCGUUGGACUAAAUAAUUGGGCAUCCUUUUGUAAUUCUCAAAUUAUAAACUUUUGAAAGUCAAAAUUGAUCGUGGUUCCGAGGGUAUAAAGGAUCGUGUCCUAUCGUGCUGGAUGUGAUGCUAUAUUCCUCUGAAACAAGAUGACUUUGACGACCAACUCGGGUUAUUCAAAUGUUAUUAAAAGGAACCACAUUUCAAAAACAUUUUUAAAUUUCAGACAUAAGGACAAUAUUUAAUCGAUUUGGUACCAAUUUUGGGCGUAAUAAGGGUGCUAAUCCUUCCUCAUAUGUAACCGACUCCCGAACCCAUUUUUUCAUAUUUACGUAGGCCAAAAUCGUUGUUUUAGUAAAAAAAAUAUUUUAUUAAAAUAACCAAAUCCUUAGGUGACCCGAUCACACCUAAACAAAAAAGAUUGGUGGCGACUCCAUAUUUCAUUUUUCAAAAAGUCGAUCGUCCUUUUUAAGACCUAAAAAGGGUGGUUUCGACAAUAGUAAUACGAUUCAAGAAUGCAAAUCCCAAAUGUAGGACUCAAUUUAUUAUUUCUAACAUUAAUUUUAAGACAAAAUUCGGCUUUUACUUAUCCAUAUGGGCAUGGUUUUAAUUAGAAAUCGGCAGUGAGAGGGAAGCAAAGGCUUGGAGCUGCUCGCCGGAGUCGAUCUGCUUUCCUGGAUCGGAGAAGGCAAAGAGGAAGAAGUCCAUGAAAUCAAAGUCCUUGUAAAGCUGAGGAUGUUGCUCAUCUAUAAGUUCUUUGGGUGCUUUAAUUAUGGUACCCUCAACUGGAAUGGCAAAGGCUGCUAUAGAAAAUCGAUCUUUAUCUCCACUCAUCAUUACUCUGUGAUUCACCGCUUUUAAUCUCCCAUUACUCCAUGCCUUCAACUUUUAAAAAUCAACAUCACUAAAUGUUUUAUGAUAAUUAUUCUCAUUCAAUCAUACUCCAUGCCUUGUAUUUCAUGUUCUAUUUAAUAGAUCAUGCAUACUUGUUAUGUUUGAGUAAAUUAAAAAUUGAACAUUAACCGUAUAUAUAUACAUCUUGAGAGGAUCUCCAACCACAAAGCAAAAGGAAGAAGGAGAUAAGGACAACUUGAUCCAUUUGCCAUCACUAACCUCAAUUUCUAGCCCUGAAACUUGAUCAUCACAAAUGAUUGUACUGACAGGUUUAUCAGUAUGAGCAAAGAGUCCUCUCUCAUACUCUCUCGGUGGAGGGGUCAUGUAUUUCAUAAACCGCACAAGUGUUUUGUAGUUUAUCAUCACUGACUCCCAUUUCUCUCCUAAUCCAUAACUAUCAAUUAUCAUUAACCAAAUUAACUUGUUAAGCUCCUCUAUUUGUGUCGACAUGGUAUGGACUGUGUUGCUGGAAUAAAAGAUCAAAAUAAAAUGACAAUAACUCUAAUAACUCUAAUUUGCAUAUAAUAAAAAAAAUUUGGAAAAAGAAAACAACAACAUUGGCCACAUGAUGAAAUAAUAAUAAAAAAUGAACUAUAAAACGAAGGAGGUGCAAUGGUGAAAGAAAAAAAAACCAAUAUCUUCAUUUUCAAUUUCGGCAACAUGAAAAAAUAUAUCAGUAAUUCAAUUCUGCCUGUUUUUAGUCUUGUAGAUGAUUAGAAAUUAGAAAUUAGAGGUGUUUAAGGGUGAAAGAAAAUUUUUAAGGCCGGCUCACCUCGUUAAAAUUAACCGAUUUACUAUUUUAAAAUAAUAAAAUAUUAAAAAUUCCUAUAUUGAUAUUGAUAUUUAUAUAUUUUUAUUAUUAAAAUUUUAAAUUUAUUUAAUUUAAAUAAAGGCUUAUUUGAGGACAAAAAUUUCUUGCACUUGGGUAGAGUCAAGCCUAUGUUUUAUUAAAUAUAUAUUUUUCUUUUACAUUAAUGUAUACUGUUAACUAAUAAGAUUCUUUUACAUUAAUAUAUACUGUUAACCAAUAAGAUUAAUAAGGAAGAGAAGAAGGUUAAUUUCGUGGUGAUUCACUUUUAGUUGUGACGAAGAGUCACCGAAUAUUCAGCUGGGUAAAGAUAAUUCUGGUGGUAUGCUCAGGUAGAAAGAGAAUGAGGGUGGAAGAAGGAUGGUUUUUCAGUCUUGGUCUCUCUCAAGUGUUGUGCUGAGUUAAUAUAUUGGAGGACAAAGAUGUCAACGCGCCUUGAGCUUAUUGACAAUGGAGUUACACUUUGUUCUCUUAUGGUGAUAAUGAUGUGACGUUCUAGUAUAUGACCCCUUAAGGCAGUUGAGUAAUCAAUAAGUCUGAAUCCUCAUGUGCGUUUCAUGCAAAUCUAGUGAGAGUAAUCUUAUGAAGGUUCACCAUUUUAUCAUGGUCUGAAGUUUUCCAAACUCGCCCAAUUGGAGAUUCCCUCAAUAUAGACACACGGAGGGACACAAGAAAGAAAUAUAACAUAUAUAUAAUUAAAUUAAAAUGUAAAUAGUUAACAUUUAAUUGCAUUAAAAAAUAUUAGAAGAGAAAGAAAAGGUAAUAAUCAAACAUAAUUAUCAUUUGAUAAUAUUUUUUUGGAAAAAUAAUUAUCAUAUGGGAGAGCAAAUAUCCCCAGGCAAUUGUGGAGAGUGACGCUAUUAGUUAAGAGUAGGUAAAAUUUGAUUCGAUUCAAAAAAAUUAAAAAACAUCGAAUUUUGAGUUAAUUGAUUUUUUCGGGUCAAAUCAAAUAAGUGAUUUGAGUUCGAGUCAAGUUGAAUUUUAUAAUUUAAAUAAGUAGAAUAAUUCAAAUAAUAGAUUAGUGUAAAUACUUCUUUGGUCCUUGUCAAUUUUGAAAAUGAACAAAUUAGUCUCUCUUUCAACAAAAAUUAAAAAAAAUCAAAAUAAUUUUUAAAAUUCAAAAAUUUAUCUUUUAAACCAUUAUAUAUAUUUUAAAAAAAAUCUAAAUAAUAUAUAAAAAAGUUAAAAUUUUACCUUUUUUCUAAAAAAAAAUCUAAAUAAGUUAAUUAAUGAUUCAAGUUUAUCAUAUUAAAAUAUCUUAUUUCCCCACCUUAUUUUGCUUUGAAAAAUUUUUAAAUAUAUAUGCUUUCAAAUUUACGUGCUCUAACAUGAAAUUAGUUAUACUGUAACAAAAUUUUAAUUUGACAUGUUUACUUUUUUUUAAUUUAAUUCGAACAAUUUUACUCGACUUAAAUUUUAUUUCAAAUCGAGUUAAGAUAAUAAAAUAAAAUUCAUCAACUCAAUUAACUUAAGAUAUUUUUACUCUGUUCAAUCUAACGUUAAUCCCUAUCUUGAGUGCUAUUAAGAACAACCCUAAGGUGGGCUAUCCAUCGGCCAUAGUUCGAAGGAUCAUGCAUGUACUCCGGUAACAAUGCGCUCGAUAUUUUGUGCUUUGUUUCCUCUCUUUAUUAUAAAAAAGAAAAAGAAAAAAAAAGAAAAAGCAAAUAUGCUCGAAAUGAAUCACCACACAUCAUCAAUCUCAGUCUUAAGACAAAAUACAAUGACGGUAUAAAAACUUCCGAUCCAAUAAUAUCACAACAAAACACCAAGCCAAAAUCAUUUGAGACGAAUCAACAAUAAUUCAGGCGAUGAGCCCAAUUUUUAAUAACGAAUAUAAAAGUUCCUGAUUUCGCUUUUUCUUACAAUUUAGACACAUUUUCUAUUUAUUUGAUAUCAUAGUUAUAGCUUCAUCAAAAAGUUGUACAUAAGAUGUCAAUUAUUGCUUCUUCUUUUACAACUUUCCCUUCCUUCUCUGCUACAUAUCUGAUUUAAUCCCAAAUCCAUAUCAACUAAGGCCCCUUUUAGACACAUAGUUUGAGAUAGUCCAUUUCGGAUCAUUUUAGAUGGUAUAGGCUAACACCUUCAUCAUCUCUUUUAUCCAACCCCAGUCCCUUGUCAUUUUCGUCUAUUGAACCCAUAUCCAGCCUAUUACAAAUAUUAUUAAAUUCGUUGAUGGCCAAAAGCCCAUUAGCCAUCAUUCACCAUUGAAUUUGAUCAUCACCACCUAACAAAGGUCUAACCUCAUUAGCUUCUUCAAUGCAAGAGAUAAAGUCAUCAUCACACUCAACAUUAAAUAUAAGUAUUGUUCCCAAAAAGCACGGUUAAAAUUCUCACGUGCACCGCCAAAAGUAUUGGGACUCACCUCAUCCCACUGUGCAGUUAAUUUGAUGUCAUCUUCUAUCAUUUUCUGAUAAAAAAAUUUCCGGCCAACCACUGCUACUCGGAUUUGCAUAACAACACCACUUAUCGGACUUUAUAGUCUUUGUUGGUUCGCCUUUGAUAAAGCAUAGGCUACUAGAGUAGUAACAUCGAUGCAAAACUGAUCGAAUAAUAAUAUCAACAUUAACAUUCUAAUCUAACCUUAAUGCAAUUCACCCAACUAAUUCGUAGUAACUUGGAACAACCAAAUUGAAGAGAAAGGGAGCAUAAUCAACUAUAGGCAAUGAAACAAUUAGAAGCUGAAACUUCAAGCAAAUUCAUCAAUCAAGGUAAUGGAACUUAUUUUUCUUAUAAAUAUAAAAAUCCACAACAAAAGUGGUUGAAUCCAUGAAUACAACAAAAAGGAGUAGAAAACCGGUCGGGUGAAAUCAAUUUUUCUUUUUGGAAUUAAGUUAUAUAUUCAGUAAAUGAUUAAAUUACAUUUUUAUUAUUUUUUAGAAUCAAAUAUAAUUUUAUCAUUAUUAAUUUAAAAUUUUAAAAAUUAUAAAAUAACUGAAAGAGAAAUAUUUAUUUUAGAGAGACUAAGGCUCACGCAAACUCUUUGGCUCCGCCCUGUAAAUAACAAUUAGGCCAACCAACAAAAUACUGGGGACACUUAUAAUGGGCAAAGGGAAACUUGCUUUUUGGGUUAAAAUUAAGUUAUAUAUUUUUAUCAAAAAGUUAAAAUGCAAUUACAUCAUUAUGUUAUCUUAUACCUUUUAAAGUUUUAAAAAGAUUAAAAGAAAAUUCAAUCACUUAAACUUAAUUCUUCAAAAAAAUAUUUAAAUAUAAAAUAUAUGAAUUUUUUUAUAUUAUGUUAUUACAUAUUUACCUUUUUAAUAGUUUAUAUAUACAAGAAUAAAUUAGUAAUUUCAUAUAGUGAAGCACGUUAAAGUGGGGCAAGCAAUUAUCAUAGUCACUCUAUACCCACUACUCAAAAGAAAAAGUCCACUCUAUGCCAUCCCAAAUCCACUUUUCAAAAGAAAAAAACCCACUCCAUUUGCAAUGGAUCGAUUUGGAAUCUAUUGGGCGGUUCGGGUUUUGCAAUCUCUAAUUAUGAAGAUAUUAUUCUUUGGCUUAAUAUAUUGAUUAAUCCCUAAAUUUGGUAACUUUUCUCAAGUUAGCCCCUAAACUUUUUUUGAGAUCAAAUAGGUCCUUAAGAUUGGCAUAUCAGUUAUACAAAUUUGACUCUAUCAUUAACACUUCUUUUUAACAAGGUUGCGUAGCCAAACAUGUAGGUGACCUGAAUAACACGUGUUGUCCUAUUUAAUUAUUUAAAAAAACAAAAAAUCCUUCUCACCAACAAAAAAGAACCCUUAAAAUUAAAAAUAUAUAUACAUUUAAAAAAAUUAAAUAUAUAUGAAUUAAAUUUAAAAAAUAUGCUAAACAAUAAAAAGUAUAGUAAAAAAUUUAGAAAAUUGUUAUGUCAACUUAAUUGUCAAAGUCAAGGGACUAAAUGUUAUAUCCACCCUUUAUCAUAAAUGUAGCUUUCAACCAUUAUAUAUUGUCGUGAAUAUAUUAUUAUUUAUUGUUAUUGACAAAUAAGCUAAAAUUUGAAUUUACUUGAAACAUCUUAAUCGAAUUAUUUAAAUGAAACAACAAUAAGAAGACAAUGAAGUUUGUGUACAAGCAAAAUUGGUUCAAUAAAAAAAGUUGUAGCUACUGAUCUAUUGUCUGCUGUCUUCUUCUGAUUUAACCUUAGUCUCUCACCUAGAAAAAAAUUUAACAAUUUUUAUAAUUCUGGUUUAACUUUUAAUUCACGUGUGAUGUUUUAAUCUAUAAGUAAUUAUGAUAACAAUUUUUUACACUUUUAAUUGAGGUAAAAAAGAUCAGUGUAAUUUAUGGCUACUAAUUAGCUCUCGAAUUUGAACUUUAAUGCGUGCAUGGCUUCAAAUCCUCAAGUUCAAUGAGUAGGCGUCUUAUUGAAUCCAUGAACUGCCAUCUUACUGAAUUCAUACACCAACAUUACUCAACACAAUAGAUUUAGUAACCUACAAUUACAUGAUUAUAACAAACUAUAACAUGCUAAUACAUCACGAGAAUGCAAAUCCCAAACAUGGGAUUCAAUUUAUUAUUUGUAACAUUAAUUUAAAACCGAAAUCGAGCUUUUACUUGUGGAUAUGAUCAUGUUCUUAAUUGGAAAUCGGUGGUGAGAGAGCAGCAAAGGCGUCGAUCUGCUGGUUGGAGUUGAACGUCUUUGCUAGGUCUGAAGCGGUAAAAAAGAAGUACUCCAUGAAAUCGAAGUCUUUGUAAAGUUGAGGAUGUUGGUCAUCUAUAAGCUCUUUGGGUGUCUUGAUUAUAGUACCCUUGUUAGGAAUGGCGAAGGCUGCUAUAGAAUAUCGAUCUUUAUCUCCACUCAUUAUCACUUUGUGCAUCCCCGAUUUCAAUCUUCCAUUACUCCAAGCCUUCAAUUUAAAAAAUCAACAUCAAUAAUUAUUCACUUUCAACAUCAAUAAUCUAAUCUCAAUAUAUCUAUAACCCAAGAUCUUAUGUCAACAUUGUAGCGACGUAAAAAUUUCUUCUUUUGGUCACUAAUUGAGGUGAUUUAUUGGAAAUUUAAAAACCGACUUUCGAUUUUAUUAAAAAAAGGAGUCGCCACCGAUCCUUUUUUCUAGGUGUGAUCGAACACCUAAUAAAUCCUCUUUUUCAAAAUAAAAUUUAUUUUUUAAACAAAAAGAAGGCCGAGUUUAGGUCUACGUUUAAAGCCAGAGAAAAAAAUAGGGUUCGGGAGUCGGUUACGCACGAGGAAGGUAUUAGCACCCUCGCGACGUCCAAAAUUAGUAUCUUAUUAAACUUGUGUUGUCUUGAUUUUCAAAAGUACAAAUUCAAUCUGACAUUUACUCGUGAUCCAAUUGAAAAAUGAGAAUUUUUAGUUUUCGAUUUUUUAGAAAGGGUGUCCCGUUUUUAACACAAGCCGAUGAAUUUCACCCAACAUAGCGAUGAAAUCGAUGGCUUAAUAUUAAAUCGGUACAUUGCCUUAUUUUUGAAAUUAAUUAAAACAUGAGAAAAAAAAUUCCUAAAGUGAGAAAUUAGAAAUAGAUAAACGAUACAAAAAAAAGAUAUCAUUAAUGAAAAAUAUUAACAUGAAAUACUAGAAUAUUAGAAUAACAAUAAUAACGAUAUUUAUAAAAAAAACAAAUCAUUUACUAAUAAUAAAAUAGGAAAAAAUGAUAUAUUUGGUAAUAAUAAUAUAAAAUAAAAAUAUGUACAUAAAAAUACAUAUAUAUAUGCAUAUAAUAAAUAUAUGUAAUAAUAAUAAUAUCUACAAUAAAAGAAAAUAUUAGGAAACGUACAUAAAAAUAUAUACAUAAAAUUUUUUUUACAACAAUAAUAUAAAAUAAUGAUAUGUACAAAAUAUAUAUAUGUACAUAAUAUAGUUAUAAAAAUAUAUAUUAAAUUCGGAAUAGGUAAAUAAUAAUAAAAAGGGUAAGAAUAUACCGAAGCCCCAAUGUUAUGGAUUACUGAAAUUAAUCUCUUUUCUUCUCGGGCUGUUGAAAUGGGCCUUUGUUGGUGAUCUUCACCGGAUCAGAUUGCCUUAAAUAGAGUCAGGUUGACCCGACCAUUUUAAAAUUUAAUAUUUUUUAUUAUUGUAGUUUUUUUAGACCAAUUUUUGUUUAGCCCAAUUACAAAUAAAAUUUACAUAAAAGAUACAAAAUCCAAAUUACUUCAACCCAACACAAACCAACCUCAGCCCACUAACUUAAUAAUCCAACACAACCAACCCAACCCACUAACUUAACAUAUCACCCAACCCACUAAUUAACCCAAACUAAAUUUAACCCAUCAAACCUUACAUAAACCAACCCAUUAACUAAAAUAUUUCUUUUUUUUAAUACUAAACCCCCCCCCCCAAAACAAACAAGUUCCAGCAGCAAACAAAGAAAAUCCAAACUUCAAGCUGCCUAUUCUCCCUCUCCUUCCACCGUGCGCGUCACCAGCAGCCACCGUAUGCACCACAUGAAAUCAGGCUACGGGUAGUUAAGGUUUGGGUUUUGGGGUGGCUGAUAAUCGAUUGGCUCGGGUAUUUAGAGUGGGUUCCGGUUUGUGAGCUUGGUUGUGGUGUUAAUGGUGGUUAGUCCUUGGUUGCUUGGUUGCUUGCCGGAUAUUGGAGUUUUUUCUUGCUUAGAUUGUUGAAUGUUCCUUUUUGUUGUUUUUUUUUUGCUGGAAAAUUUUUUUGCUGAAAUUUUUUUUUUGCUAUUUUUUCUCAAAUGGGAGAAUCCUCCUCUUUUUUAUGUGGUUUUUUUUAUUUCUCCCAUUUUGCUUGUUUUUAUGCUAUUUGCAGGUAGUGGGUGAAGAAGGAGCAGCCACCCAUGUUUGUGGCCUGAAAAUCUGGGAAGUGGGUACCCCAAAUCACGUAAUCUGUCUGAAGGACCAAAUCACAAAUGCAGCAAAACUUCUGGGGCUAAAUGUAAUUUUUAGAAAAUGUAGGGUUAAAAUGCAAUUUAAGGAAAGUUUAGGGGUCUAAGUGAAAUUUAAAGAAAGUUUAAGGGUCAAAAUGAAAUUUAGGAAAAGUUUAAGGGUAAAAAUGCAAUUUUUAUUUUUUGAAAAUUUUUUAUUUUUAUUUUUUAAAAAUUUUGAAAAUUAAACAACAAACUCUAGUCGGACAAAAAUUUAGUGUUUACAGUUCCCCUUCUUUGCUCAUCUCUGUGAAACAGGGAUAGUGAAAAGACUUAAAAGCACUAAAUUUUGUUCGAUUGUCCAAUCUUCAUUCUUUAUUGAAAAAUAAAAAAAAUUAAAAAUAGCUCGGGAUGCGACCCGAAGUUCAACUCACCUCUCGAAUUAUGAGUUGAUCUUUUGAAAAAGAAAAAAAUUGAAAAUACCUCAGCGUAUGACCUGAGGCUUAACUCACCUCUCGCAAUAUGAGUUGAUUUUUUUGAAAGACAGAAAUUGAAAAUACCUCAAUGUGUCUUGAGGCUCAACUCAUUUCUCACAAUAUGAGUUGACCUUUUUUAAAAAAAAAAACAGGAAUUGAAAUUACCUCAGCGUGUCCCAAGGCUCAACUCACAUCUCGUAAUAUGAAUUGAUUUUUGAAAAACAUAAAUUGAAAAACGGAAAUCAAAAAUACCUCAACGUGUCCUGAGGCUCAAUUCACCUCUCGCAAUAUGAGUUGAUUUUUGAAAAAUAUAGAUUGGAAAAAACAGAAAUUAAAAAUACCUCAGCGUGUCCUGAUGCUCAACUCACCUCUCGUAAUAUGAGUUGAUUUAAAAACAGUCAUUAAGAACAGAAAUUAAAAAUACCUCAGCAUGUCCUGAGGCUCAACUCACCUCUCGCAAUAUGAGUCGACUUUUUUUUUGACAAACAAUAAUUGAAAAUACCUCGGCGUGCCCCGAGGCUCAACUCACUUCUCGCAAUAUGAGUUGAAUUUUGAAAACAGAAAAAACAUCAAAAUACUAAAUCCUGUCAUCUGGUUGAAUUCAGGUGUCUUUUCCUUUGAUUCAGUACAGCUAUCAUCACACCCUCUUGCUCUAUUGGAGUACCUGUAUAUGUCAUGCAUGAUGUCAUCAUGAUAUGCACAUGUUUAUCUUAAAUGCCUUUAUGCCUACAUGAUUAUGCUAUGCGCCUUAGGCAUGUUUGUCGUAUGUCCUUUUUCGUCACGAUUUUUGAGGGUCUGCAUUCGUUGCUUCGAUUCUCGACCUUCUCUUCAAACCUCGUACUCGUCUCCAAGCUUCACGAGUAAUCAACAUUUCUCAAAUAUCACCUUUUUGCCCCUGGUUGAACUUUGUACUUGCUUUGAGGCUCUUGUACUUAUCAAAUUCUUAUCCGGGUAAUGCUUAGCACUUCUUGUGUUUAGAGUAUGUCAUUUCACUAUUUAUCACGUAAAUGAACCACAUAAUGAGAUGCAUGAAAAUGGUUAGGUAGGGACAAAAGGAUACCUCACAUUUAUUCAUUUCAAAUUUAGCAAACAAAGAAAGUUAAUCAAUGAUAGUAAAAAAAAGUGUCAUAAAGAGAAAGGGGAUCGCAUUUCAACAAAUACAAAUGCUCUAGAUAUUCAACGCAUGAACUCUUCCACGUUCCUCAAUCAAGAAUCUUUUCGAGCAUGGCUUUCUUGCAUAAGAGAUUUCGAGUUUUCAGAAAUGCUUCAAAUACUGUAGUCUCUCUGUUUGACCCACCGUUCAAAAUGCCUUGCUUUUUAAGCCAAUGCUUGCUUCAUUAGAAUGCCCUUUCGGGUUUUCAUCCUAAUCUUUUGUGUUAAUCAAGGCGCCCUUUUCGGGUUUUCACCUUGAUCCCUCUCUCUUUUUCUUUUUUUUUUUAGGCAUAAUACUUCUUCACAGUAUCUGAAUUCACUGGAUUAGGUAACUCCUUCCCAUCCAUUUCAGUGAGAAUCAAAGCUCCGCCCGAGAAUGACUUCUUUACGACGUAUGGUCCUUCCCAAUUUGGUGCCGAUUUUCCUCGUAAGUCAUUCUGUAUUGGGAGAAUCUUUCUCAACACGAGUUCUCCUUUAUGGAAUUCUCUUGGCCGUACCUUCUUGUCAUGAGCAGCGAUCAUUCUCUUUUGGUACAUCUGCCCGUGACAAAUUGCCUUUAAACAUUUUUCUUCGAUGAGGUUUAACUGGUCAUAUCGAGCUCGAACCCAUUCUGCUUCCUCUAAUUUCGACUCCAUUAAGACUCGUAACGAGGGGAUCUCAACUUCGAUGGGUAACACAGCUUCUAUUUCAUAGACCAGAGAGAAAGGAGUUGCUCCCGUAGAUGUUCGUAGAGAUGUGCGAUAUGCAUACAAAGUAAAUGGUAACUUCUCGUGCCAGUCUUUAUACGUCUCGGUCAUUUUCCCAAUAAUCUUCUUAAUAUUCUUGUUGGCUGCUUCAACAGCUCCGUUCAUCUUUGGGCGAUAGGGCGAGGAGUUAUGAUACUUUAUUUGGAAUCGCUCACACACUUCUUUCAUCAUCUUGUUGUUCAAAUUCAAGGCGUUAUCUGAAAUGGUUCUUUCAGGCAAACCAUAUCGACAAAUGAUUUCCUUUUUCAAAAACCUGUAAACUGCAGUCUUCGUCACAUUGGCAAACGAUGUGGCUUCUAUCCAUUUUGUGAAGUAAUCAACAACCACAAAAAUGAAUCGGUGUCCAUUAGAAGCUUUUGGGGAAAUUGGCCCUAUAACAUCCAUGCCCCACAUAGAAAAAGGCCACGGAGAAGUCAUGACGUGAAGGGGCAAAGGGGCUAUAUGAAUUUUAUCACCAUAAAUUUGACAUUUGUGGCAUUUUCGUGUGAAAUUAAUGCAGUUGCUUUCCAUCGUCAGCCAGUAAUAAUCGAGUCUCAUAAUAUUCCUGGCCAUAGUGAAACCAUUGGCAUGUGUCCCGUAAAUUCCCUUAUGGACAUCUUCAAGUAUUUUUCUGGCUUCAAUAGCAUCUAUGCAUCUCAAGAGUACCUGAUCUUUUCCUCUUUUGUACAGGAUGUCCCCAUCAAGAACGAAUCCCGCUGCCAUUCUUCUGAUUGUUCUUUUGUCGUUCUCAUUUGCUUGCUCGAGAUACCUUUGAUUCUUGAUGUAUUCUAAGAUAUCAUGAAACCAUGGCCGUCCAUCUGGCUCUUUUUCAAUGCUGAAACAAUGUAUAGGGACUUCAUAUAUGCUCAUUUGAAGAGGCAUUAUUUCUGUUUCUCUGUUUGCUUUAAACAUUGAAGCUAAAGUGGCCAGGGCAUCAGCUAACUGGUUUUCUUCUCGUGGGAAGUAAUUAAAAGUUAUUUCUUUGAAUUAUUUAAUCAACCCUGCCACGAGAUCACUAUAUUUGACUAAUUUUGAAUCCCUUACUUCCCAAUCUCCACGAAUUUGAUAAAUCACCAAUGUUGAGUCUCCGUAUACCUCUAAAGUUUGGAUGUUUCGUUACAGGCCUCAUAUUCCGCUAUGUUAUUGGUACAGAAGAAAUUCAACCUGGCAGUCAACGGAUAAUGGUUUCCUUCUGGUGAUACUAAGACUGCUCCAAUCCCAUGCCCCAAUGCAUUCGAUGCACCAUCAAAGCUCAUCUUCCAUGACUUUUCUUUUGAUGACUCACAUUCUUUUUCUGUAAGGCACAUCAAGUCUUCAUCUGGGAAAUCAAAUCUCAAUGGCUCGUAUUUCUCCGUUGUUCAAGUUGCUAAGAAGUCAGCGUUGCGCUCCCUUUUAUCGACUUUUGGCUCAUAUAGACGAUAUCAUAUUCUGAUAGUAAGAUCUACCAUCGUGCCAUUCUUCCUGAGAGUGCAGGUGAUUCCAUCAUCUACUUUAUUGGGUCUAACUUUGAAAUUAGCCAUGUCGUAUGAUACAGCAUAUAUUGCCUAAGUCUCUGAGCUACCCAAACCAGAGCGCAACAGUAUUUUUCUAUGGACGAAUACUUUGCCUCAUAUUCAGUGAACUUUUUACUGAGGUAGUAGAUCGCAUUUUCUUUCUUUCCGAACUCGUCAUGUUGCCCCAGUACGCAACCUAUUGAAUUCUCGAACACAGUCAAAUAUAAUAUCAAUGGCCUUCCCGGCAUUGGUGGUACUAGCACUGGAGGACUAGACAAAUACUGUUUUAUCUUGUUAAAAGCCACUUGGCACUCCUUGUUCCAUUCUCCGGGAUUAUGUUUUCGAAGGAUUCGAAAGAUUGGGUCGCAUUGGUUGGUAAGUUGAGCGAUAAAUCGGGCGAUGUAGUUUAAUCUCCCUAAAAAUCCUCUGACUUCCUUUUGCGUGCGCGGAGGUGGUAACUCUUGAAUGGCUUUUAUUUUAUCUGGAUCAACUUCAAUGCCUCUCUCACUAACAAUGAAGCCAAGCAAUUUUCCUGAGGUAGCCCCAAACGUACAUUUGGCCGGAUUGAGCUUUAGCUGGAACUUUCUCAGUCUGUCGAACAACUUCUUCAGGUUCACUACAUGCUCUUCUUCCCCUCAGGAUUUAGCAAUCAUAUCGUCGACAUAGACCUCUAUUUCUUUAUGCAUCAUGUCAUGGAAUAACGUCACCAUAGCCCUCUGAUAUGUUGCCCCAGCAUUCUUUAACCCAAAUGGUAUCACCUUGUAGCAGAAUGUUCCCUACAUUGUUACGAAGGUAGUUUUCUCCAUAUCCUCAGGGGCCAUCUUGAUCUGAUUAUACCCCGAGAAUCCAUCCAUGAAAAAGAAUAAUGAAUGUUUUGCUGUGUUAUCCACCAACGUAUCAAUAUGUGGUAAGGGAAAAUUAUCUUUGGGACUUGCUCGAUUCAGGUUACGAUAAUCCACGCACAUUCGUAUUUUGCCGUCUUUCUUUGGUACCGAAACUAUGUUGGCCACCCACUCUGGAUAUUUGGAGGCUUGUAGGAAGCCAGCAUCAAAUUGCUUCUUGUCUUCCUCUUUUAUUUUCAACAACAUCUCAGGUCUCAUCCGUCUUAGCUUUUGUUGAAUGGGUUUGCAUUCUGGCCUUAAUGGGAGUUUAUGGACCACUAAAUCUUCAUCCAGCCCUGGCAUGUCCUGAUAUGACCAUGCGAAUACAUCUUUGUACUCACAGAGCAAAGCAAUCAAAUUAUGCCUGGUGCCCCCUGAAAUAGAGGUCCCAAUCUUCACUUCUUGCUUCCUUUCUUCAGUUCCCAAGUUUAUUGUUUCAACAUAUUCUUGAUGAGGCAAAAUAUGUUUAUCCUCUUGUUUCACCAUUCUUAGCAAGUCAGGAGACGAGACAUAGUCUUCAGCAUUUUUUCGGCUUCGAAUUCUCCUAAACAAACAGCCUUCUCAAAAUUAAUUUCAGGACUCGUAACGGGUUUGUUCAUGUAAUUGAUAUCUAAGCACCUGAAAGUUGAAUGGAAAAGGAAACUAUAGAGGGGCAUCUAAGUAUUGAAACCAACAAACUGAAUGUUAUGGUAUGGCAUGAGGCAAAUGUAAAGAUAGGCUAUGAAAUGAUUAUGGAAUUAGUGAUAAUGCGAAAAAUUGUGACAAAAUGCAUCUUCAUUUAUAUUCAUUUAAAUGAUAAAGAGCGAAUGCAAGUUCUUACAAAAGAAUUCUAUUAUAUCUAAGGACAUAACAGAAUGUUAACGUUUGAGCAUUACUCUGAAGACUUAUAAACUACAAGAAGAUCAUCGGCAGUCCAAUUGUUCAACAUGAAACCCGGAGGACAAGGGCGUAUCUUUGAGACGUCUUUACUUACGUCAGCUCCUUUGUCAAUGACAUUUAUAAUGAUAUUCUGAAAACCCUCUUCGAUCAUUAACAUUGUGCUUUGUGCACUAUACUGCCCUAGGUAUAUCAUUCCCGUAGACGUAAAUGUUCUUAACAAAGGAGGGAAUUCCAUGGGCUCCCAUUCUGGUUCUCGGCCUAAUGUUCUUCCGAUCCUUCUUUCCUGAUUUUUCUUCCACUGCUUUCUUCUUUGACGCAUGUCCAUCUGGAACCCUAAACCGUAUCGAGCCUUGUGGUGUACUGGGUUUAGAGCCCCGACUAUUCCUUCCAGAUAUCUUCCUAAACCUCUUAUCGCUCGAGCUCCCCUUCCUACAGUCAACUUGACACCCGUUCUAGUAUUUCUAGACAGUUUUGGCACCCGAAUUCUGUUUCCCUCGGUGACAAAAGUGGCAUUGAUGAAUUCAAGGGAUCGAAAGGAGCAUUCCACUGCGUCUUUGCUUACUUUAAGGUAUGGCGCAUCAGCAGAGAUAGAUGCGACAAUGUCUUCUUCUCCCUCGAUAGUGACCAAACAGCCAUCCAUGAUAAAUUUCACCUUUUGAUGGAGGGAUGAUGGGACCACUCCAGUGGAAUGGACCCAGGGUCUUCCCAAAAGGCAGUUAUAUGAGGGUGUAAUAUCCAUGACUUGGAACUUGACAUCAUAUAUGUAGGGACCCACUUCUAGAAGGAUCUCAAUCUUCCCCAUGACUUCACGCCUUGUCCUAUCGAAUGCCCUUACCGUGGAAUGACAGGGCCUUAAAUAAGACAAAUCCAUCAGAAUUCUGGAAAGUGUGGUCAAAGGCAUGACGUUGAGUGCCGACCCAUUAUCGAUGAGCACGUUCGGUAUUAUGUAGCCCUUGCAGCGAGUCGUAAUAUGCAGUGCUUUCACUGAGCCUCUACCAUUGGGUGGUAUUUCAUCAUCACUAAAAGAGAUGAAAUUAUCCGCAUUCAAGUUGUUCAUCCAUCUGUCAAGCUUCUCUACGGAUAUAUUGUUUGCCACAUAAGCUUGAUUUAACACUUUCAGCAAAGCAUUCCGGUGUGGCUCCGAAUUUAAUAGCAGGGAUAAAACUGAGAUUCAUGCUGGUUGCUUAUUCAAUUGUUCCACCAUAUUGUAUUAAUUGUGCUUGAUAAAUUUCAAGAACUCCUGUGCUUCCUCUUCAUCCACAGGCUUUUUAGUCUCUUGCACGGGUGGAAUUUCUUGCUCGACUUCGACCUCAUGCAUCACUCCUUUCCCUUUCUGCUUCCAGUCACUGUUCUUCUUCACUAGUUCGACCUCUUUCGAAUAACAUCUUCCACUUCGGGUAAAAUGACCUACCUCUCCUACAUCUCCAGUUAUGGCUUUGAGUUUUUCAUCUUCAGGUGUAACGAUAUUGACGUCGUAUUUCCAUGGUACGGAUUUGUCAUCUUUGUACGGGAAAGGAGACGGUACUUCGAUUAUCAUUUUUGGUUUCACCGACUCUUUCGUCACGUCGUAAUAAAUUACUAAUGGUCGAUUAGCGCUAUAAGGAGGACCUGAUGAUUGGCUGUCAGAAGCGCAUAUUUCUCUUUCGUUGGCCUCUUCCCUCUUGUUAAGGACCCUGAUUUCCUUAUUAUCCAUCUGGUCUUGAAGAAACCUUUUAAAAUCCUUACAUGACUGAAUGUCAUGUCCUACAAUUCCAUGAAAAUUGCAAAAACUUUGACCUUCUUCUCCAAGAAUUCUAUCGGGGUGACAAAGCAAUCCUUUCUUAACCAGAACCUCCCAGAUUUUUUACAGAGGCGUCCUUAUUUCUGAAACACAUCUUCUGACUUUUCAUUCGUCCUCUUUCCCUACUGUGCUCACAUUUCCUUCGGUAUGGUUAGGGAACGGGUUCCCAGUUGCGUUACUGGCACUAUCGAAUCGUAGGAUACCCGCGUCAAUGAGUCCUUGAACUCUCCUCUUAAAAGCUAGACAAUUCUCCGUGGAAUGCCCCUAGUUCCCCGUGUGGUAUGCACAACUAGCGUUUGGAUCGUACCACUUUGGGUAUGGAGGUUUAAGGGAUGCCAUGUAAUGGGGAGAAAUUAGCUGUUUCUCCAAAAGUUUUGGGUAUAAUUCCCCAUACGAUCAGGGAUGAGAGUAAAUUGCGGUCUCUCGGAAUUAGGCCUUGCUGGUCUUGGUUCAUUUCUGGGCUGGCUUUGAGCGGGUACCGUGUUUUGUGGGAAUGUGGUGACGGGUUUUUGGUUGUUCGUGGCGUAUACGGGGUAGGAAGGAGGUGGUGCUUGGUAGUAAGGGGUUUGAAAGGGAUAAUAGAAAUUUAGAGGAGGAUAAUUUCGAGGUCGGGGUUGGUUUGGAUAUGGAUUAGGGAUAUUACAAUAUCCGCAAAGUCCUUCGUGGCACUUCCCACUAAUUUGUCAUAAAACGGUGCUUUCAAAGUAUUGAUGAAGAGAACGGUUAUCUCCGUUUUUGUUAGUGGGGGUUCCACUUGGGCUGAGACGUCCCUUUAUCUCUGCGCAUGCUGUCUAAAAGUUUCUGACGGCUUUUUCUCCAUCAUUUGCAAAGUCAUCCGGUCUAGCACCAUAUCCGAUACAUACUUGUAUUUCUCACAGAAUGCUGAUGCCAAGUCCUUCCAGGAUCGGAUCUUUUCCCUACUAAACUGGUUAUACCACCGAAGAGCUGAUCUUACUAGACUAUCUUGAAAGCAAUGUAUGAGUAGUUUAUCUUCGUUCACGUAACCCGUCAUUUUUCGGCAAAACAUUACAAGAUGCGCUUUUAGACAUCUUGUCCCAUCGUACUUUUCAAAAUCAGGCACCUUGAACUUCGGAGGCAGAACAAGAUCGGGCACCAAGCUGAGUUCUUUGGCGCUCAAUGCAGAGAAGGCUUCAGUACCUUCUAUCGCCUUGAGCCUUUCUUCCAAGCUCCUAUAUUUGUCCUGAACAUCAUGAUCGUUCAUUUUCAACCUAGCUAUCUCUGUUGGAUCGUCCAAAUCUGGAACGAGUGGAUCAGCAGGACUAGCUCCUGGGUUUGAUACGAAUACUCCUUACCCUAUGUGAGUAGGUGGCACCGCUCGUUGCUCUAGGUCUGUGGGUUCCCCUUGGGUGUACCUUCUUUGUGUUGCGUGGGCAUGCGGCGGAGUGAAUCGUGGGGGAUAGAGCGGAUCUUGACUGUGAUUAACUCUUGACCGAGGUUCCUCGACGUCAGGGCUCUACAUGGGUCCCUUUCCUUUAACUAAAACUGACAUCAUUUCCAUUAUUUUGGCCAUUUGGUCCCUUUAUUCGAGUGAUUCUUCUCGAGAUCUCACCAUUAAAUCUCUUGUCUCUUGCUACGACUUGACCAACUGCUCUUGCAAUUCCCUCUGAAAUCUUUCCAUCCUUUCAAUUCUUUCAUUGAAUUCAGCCUCCAUUGCCCUAGCUUGUCGACGCGUUCUAUAUGAAUGACGUGGUUCCAGUAUCGUGGUAUUACAACUGCGAAUUGUAUGUUUUAACCUCAGCGAACGAUUAUGGGAUAUGCAAUAAUGAAUGAAUGAAUGAAUGCAUAAAUGUCAAAUGAAUGUUAAUCAUGAAAGAAAUGCAAGAAGUUGGUGUUGAUUUCAAGAUAGCCCCUAUUUUAGGCAUUCCAUUCAUCAAAAGAGUUCAUUACAAAAUAUUUUAUCGUUUUCGAUUCAGCUAUUACACAAACUUCCUAGCUAUAUCGCUGUAUUUCUUUACUCGCGCUAAGAACUCUGAUAUAUUUGAUCUUUGACUUGGAGGGAAUUGGCAAAUGAGAAUUUCAGCUUCUUCCGAUAAUUGCACCACGUGCAUGGCUACCCCACGAACUUCAUUGAUCAAAUAGCUAAGUUGCAUUUCUUUUUCUUGGAGUCCCUCUUCGUAAGCACGAACGUCUCUAUCAUACUGACUAUCUUUUUCUUCCAAAGCCUUCAAGAGAGUAUCUAGCUGUUGUUGACGAUCUUGCAGCAUACCUUCUAACUCUCUUAUCCUUUCUUUUAGUUCUUGACGUUUAGAUCGACUAGUCAUUACCUCAGCAGACACAGCUUCAUAUUCGGCGUUCUUCUUCCUCAAUUCUAUCAUAGCCCGCGCAGCAUUUUCUUUCUCUUUCUUCGCUUUUCCUUUCCAAAAUUCCAUCCUGCCUUUAAUGUUGCUUAUCUCUUCUUUCCAUUUUGCCGACGACUUGCCCAGCCCACUAAUUUUUAUUAUGCCUCUUAACUUUUUAUUUUCCAGAUGGAGGUCCCUUAAGUCAUUUUUCACUACUUGAACUUUUUUCCACUUUCUCGGUUCUGGAUCUUUCAAUCUGAUCGUCGAUCUUCAAUUGUAGUUUUCCUCUUGAAGAGCACUAAGGUCCCGAGACAUCUUGGCCUUUUCUCGUUCAAAUUAUUGUCUUGCCAUUUCUAGCUCAGACGGCAUUUCCUCCGAGAAAAGAUUCUGGAUGGUGUAGUUUAUUGACGAGAUUUGCUGACUGUUCACCCGUUGCUUUCUCCAUAUGUCGUAAUCUUAGGUGAGAGUGUCAGCGUAUAAAGCUAAUUCCAUGAGAUGAAUUCUUUUCCAAGACUCAGACUGUGCUAAUCCUCCAGUAGCAGGUAUGAAUUGUCGCGAAGAAAAUUGCCUUUGGACCAUUAACGGAGCAUAUCCAACUCCUCCCCAUAACCCGAGUAGUGGCACCCAAUCUUGAUAUCCGACCUUGUAUAGCAGAAUUGACAGGUGUAUCCACGGGGCUCUCCAAGUUACGUCAUCGGCGCGAAGAUUCUGAAAGACUGAGACCCAGUGUUGUUCAGUGACCUCCUUUGGCCAUUCUUUCUUAAGAUAAGCUUCUAACGGGAAGAAUGUUUUAGAAAACAUAUGGAACGGUGUGCGCUCUACUUUCCAGAAGUGGCUAAGAAUCUAAACAUUAAGUAACUGCGCGUAUUCGAUAAAACGACCUUCCUCUUUCUUCCUACACCUACUUAUGGAUCUGAAGGUUUCGGCCAGGAUAGUUGGGACGGGGUUGAUUCCUUGUUUUAACCUUUCAAAGAAAUCUACCACCGCAACUUCUAUGUGUCCAAGGACCUUCGGGAAGAUGAUCAAACCGUAAAUGGCCAGAGCGAAUAGAUUUACCCUUUUCAACAUGUCGGGAGGGUUCAGAACCAAGUCUCGUAGGGAAGACCAUGGAAUGCAAAUGGUUUCAUUCUUCUUCUUUAUCUAUUUUUCGGCCCACGCGUCAGUCAUGUCUGUCAAUCUCACUAACUUUUUCUUGAAGGUCAUUGGCUUAGGUUCUUUCACAUAUAUCUUAUAAGGUUGUACGUUUUCGACACGAAGCAAAGUAGCAUACUCUUCUAUAGUCGGGGUCAUGUCUUCUUGAUUGAAAGUAAAACAUUGGUAGGCCGGAUCCCAAAAUCUGACCAUGGCUUGGAUCAAUCGUUCGUCUACGUUGACAGUAAUCAAGUUGGCUAUGUCCCCAUAUCUUUCAGUGAAGAUACCCCUAAUGUCCAAGUCCCACUGAUUCCAAACCCGAACCAAAUCUUCAAGGUUAUUCUGGAGAACAUUCACAGUUACGUGCUCGGGCAAAUUGGCAAUACAUCCCUCCACUAGACUAUCCCCUCUUUCUUUCUGAUUCUUUAGGGACCAGUCUCGAGCCGCGGCAUUCCUCUCGGUUGUUUGUAUAAUUGAAUCUUCCAUUAGAAACCCAUUUUUUGGCAACUGAUCUCUAGUCAACACCUUUCUAAUAUAAUGCCUAUAAUGCAUGAUGGAAAAAAAAUAAGGCAAAGACAAACAACCUUGAUUAGUAAUUAAGUAUAGGCAGAAAAACAUGGAAAAUUUAACAAAUCGAACUACCCAAAUCUAAUUUAUUAAACAGACCUAGUCCCAUUGUAUAGAAAGUGAAGAUACAAAAGAUAGGAGGCGUUCCUCCCUUGCACUUAUUUUGGUGACUACUAAACGGACGGAGGUUUGGCAUGGCUCUAGUUAAAUAGCUCGUACAGUUCACUAUAUGCGGUUUUGGUUCUAGAUAGGUACUCGAAUUGUCCGUACUGUCAUCUGCUAAGAUUAGUACGACGCUUCGGUCAUAACCCAUCACAAGCUCACGAGUUUAAUUCAAGGGGUUACAUUUACUUAUGCCUAUGCGGAGGGACAAGUUAACUCACGAAAGCAUAAGUCAUAUGUAACCCGAAAGUAUUCACUAGCUUGUACGGAGGGACGAGUUAACUCACGAAGGCGUAGCGUUUACUUUCACUUAAACGGACGAGGCCUGGGUAGAGAGCUCAUGUUAUGCAAAAUGCAAGUGCACGGUGUGUGGGAUAAACUCACAAACCUUUACGUUUUAUUUAAAAAACUAGACCAAAACUAAAACCAUAAAAAUUUAAAGAUGAAUAACAAUCGGAUAAAACAAGUUGGGAGAAUAUAUACAACACUUCAAAAAACCAAUUUUGGGAUCACGACUAAAUAUUAAUUCGAACAAGGAAUUUUGAAAAUUUUGAUAACACGCGUUUAAGUGACUCGACUCUCAAAAACUGACAUCCCCAGUGGAGUAGCCAGCUAUAGCGACGUAAAAAUUUCUUCUUUUGGUCACUAAUUGAGGCGAUUUAUUGGAAAUUUAAAAACCGACUUUCUAUUUUAUUAAAAAAGAGAGUCGCCACUGAUCCUUUUUCCUAGGUGUGAUCGGACACCUAAUAAAUCCACUUUUUCAAAAGAAAAUUUAUUUUUUAAACAAAAAGAAGGCCGAGUUUAGGUCUACGUUUAAAGCCAGAGAAAAAAUAGGGUUCGGGAGUCGGUUACGCACGAGGAAGGUAUUAGCACCCUCGCGAUGUCCAAAAUUAGUAUCUUAUUAAACUUGUGUUGUCUUGAUUUUCAAAAGUACAAAUUCAAUCUGACAUUUACUCGUGAUCCAAUUGAAAAAUGAGAAUUUUUAGUUUUCGAUUUUUUAGAAAGGGUGUCCCGUUUUUAACACGAGCCAAUGAAUUUCACCCAACAUAGCGAUGAAAUUGAUGGCUUAAUGUUAAAUCGGUACAUUGCUUUAUUUUUAAAAUUAAUUAAAACAUGAGAAAAAAAUAUUCCUAAAGUGAGAAAUUAAAAAUAGAUAAACGAUACAAAAAAAAAGAUAUCAUUAAUGAAAAAUAUUAACAUGGAAUACUAGAAUAUUAGAAUAACAAUAAUAACGAUAUUUACAAAAAAAAAACAAAUCAUGUACUAAUAAUAAAAUAGGAAAAAAUGAUAUAUUUGGUAAUAAUAAUAUAAAAUAAAAAUAUGUACAUAAAAAAUACAUAUAUAUAUAUGCAUAUAAUAAAUAUAUGUAAUAAUAAUAUCUACAAUAAAAGAAAAUAUUAGGAAACAUACAUAAAAAUAUAUACAUAAAAUUUUUUUUACAACAAUAAUAUAAAAUAAUGAUAUGUACAAAAUAUAUAUAUGUACAUAAUAUAGUUAUAAAAAUAUAUAUAUUAAAUUCGGAAUAGGUAAAUAAUAAUAAUAAGGGAAAGAAUAUACCGAAGCCCCAAUGUUAUGGAUUACUGAAAUUAAUCUCUUUUCUUCUCGGACUGUUGAAAUGGGCCUUUGUUGGUGAUCUUCACCGGAUCAAAUUGCCGCAAAUAGAGUCAGGUUGACCCGACCAUUUUAAAAUUUAAUAUUUUUUAUUAUUGUAAUUUUUUUAGACCAAUUUUUGUUUAGCCCAAUUACAAAUAAAAUCUACAUAAAAGAUACAAAAUCCAAAUUACUUCAACCCAACACAAACCAACCUCAGCCCACUAACUUAAUAAUCCAACACAACCAACCCAACCCACUAACUUAACAUAUCACCCAACCCACUAAUUAACCCAAACUAAAUUUAACCCAUCAAACCUUACAUAAACAAACCCAUUAACUAAAAUAUUUCUUUUUUUUUAAUACUAACCCCCCCAAAAAAAAACAAACAAGUUCCAGCAGCAAACAAAGAAAAUCCAAACUUCAAGCUGCCUAUUCUCCCUCUCCUUCCACCGUGCGUGUCACCAGCAGCCACCGUAUGUACCACAUGAAAUCAGGCUACGGGUAGUUGAGGUUUGGGUUUUGGAGUGGCUGAUAAUCGAUUGGCUCGGGUAUUUAGAGUGGGUUUCGGUUUGGGAGCUUGGUUGUGGUGUUAAUGGUGGUUAGUCUUUGGUUGCUUGGUUGCUUGCCAGAUAUUGGAGUUUUUUCUUGCUUAGAUUGCUGAAUGUUCCUUUUUUGUUGUUUUUUUUUUUGCUGGAAAAUUUUUUUGCUGAAUUUUUUUUUUUGCUCUUUUUUCUCAAAUGGGAGAAUCCUCCUCUUUUUUGUGUGGUUUUUUUUUUAUUUCUCCCAUUUUGCUUGUUUUUAUGCUAUUUGCAGGUAGUGGGUGAAGAAGGAGCAGCCACCCAUGUUUGUGGCCUGAAAAUCUGGGAAGUGGGUACCCUAAAUCACGUAAUCUGUCUGAAGGACCAAAUCACAAAUGCAGCAAAACUUCUGGGGCUAAAUGUAUUUUUAGAAAAUUUAAGGUUAAAAUGCAAUUUAAGGAAAGUUUAGGGGUCUAAGUAAAAUUUAA